GGAAGUAAAAGUUAACAAGGUUUCCGUAGGUGAACCUGCGGAAGGAUCAUUACUGAGUGAGGGCCCCUCGGGGUCCAACCUCCCACCCGUGUUUAACGAACCUUGUUGCUUCGGCGGGCCCGCCUCACGGCCGCCGGGGGGCAUCUGCCCCCGGGCCCGCGCCCGCCGAAGCCACCUGUGAACGCUGUCUGAAGUAUGCAGUCUGAGACAAUUAUUAAAUUAAUUAAAACUUUCAACAACGGAUCUCUUGGUUCCG
rnacentral:misc_RNA from 1 species